rnacentral:tRNA from 1 species
GUCCUUGUAGCUUAUAAACUAAAGCAUGGCACUGAAGAUGCCAAGAUGGCCACCACAUAUGCCCAAGGACA